rnacentral:rRNA from 1 species
UACGUAGGGACCGAGCGUUGUCCGGAAUCAUUGGGCGUAAAGAGCGUGUAGGCGGCCACUUAAGUCCUGCGUGAAAUCUUGCGGCUCAACCGCAAGCGGUCGUGGGAAACUGGGUGGCUAGAGUGCGGGGAGAGGAGAGUGGAAUUCCUGGUGUAGCGGUGGGAAUGCGCAGAUAUCAGGAAGAACACCCGUGGCGAAGGCGGCUCUCUGGAACGCAACUGACGCUGAGACGCGAAAAGCGUGGGGAGCAAACAGG